rnacentral:rRNA from 1 species
UAAAUUGAGAGUUUGAUCCUGGCUCAGGAUGAACGCUGGCGGCGUGCUUAACACAUGCAAGUCGAGCGAUGAAGUUUCCUUCGGGAAACGGAUUAGCGGCGGACGGGUGAGUAACACGUGGGUAACCUGCCUCAUAGAGUG